UCCAGCUAAGGUCCCAAAAUCAUAGUUAAGUGGGAAAGGAUGUGGGAAGGCCAAGACAACCAGGAGGUUGGCUUAGAAGCAGCCAUCCUUUAAAGAAAGCGUAACAGCUCACUGGUCUAAACAAGCCGUCCUGCGCCGAAGAUGUAUCGGGGCUCAAACUAUGUACCGAAGCUGAGGAUUCAAUUAUCUUACGGGAUAAUUGUCUGGUAGCGGAGCGUUCCGUAGGCCUGCGAAGGUGAUCCGUGAGGGUUGCUGGAGGUAUCGGAAGUGAGAAUGCUGACAUGAGUAGCGACAAAGAGUGUGAGAAACACUCUCGCCGAAAGUCCAAGGGUUCCUCAGCAAGGCUAAUCCGCUGAGGGUGAGCCGGCCCCUAAGGCAAGGCCGAAAGGCGUAGUCGAUGGGAAUCUGGUUAAUAUUCCAGGGCCUGGUGGAUGUGACGGAUCUUGUAAAUUGUUCUCUCUUAUCGGAUUGAGAGGGCUGUGAAGAGGUCCCAGGAAAUAACACCACCAUUAUAGACCGUACCCUAAACCAACACAGGUGGACUGGUAGAGUAUACCAAGGCGCUUGAGAGAACGAUGCUGAAGGAACUCGGCAAAUUGCUUGCGUAACUUCGGGAUAAGCAAGCCCCGUUAAUGGGCAACCAUUGGCGGGGGGCACAGACUAGGGGGUAGCGACUGUUUACUAAAAACAUAGGGCUCUGCGAAGUGGCUAACACGACGUAUAGGGUCUGACGCCUGCCCGGUGCCGGAAGGUUAAGAGGAGAGGUGAGAGCUUUGAAUCGAAGCCCCGGUAAACGGCGGCCGUAACUAUAACGGUCCUAAGGUAGCGAAAUUCCUUGUCGGGUAAGUUCCGACCUGCACGAAUGGCGUAACGACUUCCCCACUGUCUCCAGCAUCGACUCAGCGAAAUUGAAUUCUCCGUGAAGAUGCGGAGUACCCGCGGUCAGACGGAAAGACCCCGUGCACCUUUACUACAGCUUCAGAGUGGUACUAGGGAAUGACUAUGUAGGAUAGGCGGGAGACUUUGAACCCCGGCCGCCAGGUCGGGUGGAGUCACCCUUGAAAUACCGCCUUUUUGUUCUCUGGUAUCUAACCGCGAUCCCUGAACCGGGAUCCGGGACCCUCUGUGGCGGGUAGUUUGACUGGGGCGGUCGCCUCCCAAAGAGUAACGGAGGCG
rnacentral:rRNA from 1 species